CGGAAAUAGUAUAUGUCCCCUCGGUGUGCUUGGAGCCGAGCACUAGGCGACGAGAAAGAGGAGGUGACAGAGGAAAAACCCUGUCGCGCUCUCCCCUCCCCCCGCGUGGAAUGGGCCCGGCCGGGGGAAGGCCGGCCAGAGGGCUGGGUAGUGUUUACGGAAGAGCGGCGUCGACCGGCGCUGACCCCGCCCCUUCACGGAGACGGGCGGGGCCUCCUCACGUAGCCCCGCCCACGAUCCGCCCCCAUGGGGCCGGGCGGUGCGUGCGCUCCUAUAGGGGCUGUAGGGGAUGGAGCGUGAGGGAGGUCGAUAGGGGUAGCAGCUGGAGCAAUGCUCUUCCCUCGUAGCACACCGGCUGUUUUGGAGGCCAUCUAAAGUACCCAGCUUUCUUUAUGGCUCUAGAGAGAGACCAAGGCACUGAGGUCCGUCGCGGGUAAUCUCUCUCCUGGCACUCAUUGGUUGGGCAUCUCGGGCUCACAGUCUUCCCGACGCUGUUGCUACGAUACACUUCCAUAUAAGUGCAAGCCCACCUGUAUCAGCUCCAACCACCUCUGGCAAGUAUGUAAGACAAACUCCUGACCCUGCGUGAGUGCUUGGUUCCUCACUAGGGUCAGGGCAGCCAGCUAAUCAAGUUCUGCUGUGGUAUCUAUAACCUACAGUCACUUAAGCAUCCUUUCCAGCGCGAGGCUUUUGACCUCAUACCUGUGUGUUUGACAGAAUUACGGUGACACAUGGUCAAGACAUUUAACUGUAAGUUUUCCUUUCAUGACCCAUGCUAGUAGUUACUAACUGGAACACUGUGUACAGGCUGAACAGUUUGGUUCAUCCAAAUCCUUGGCAUAAAGAUCAGAUGUGUGAAAUCUGGGGCUGCAAUCCUGCCUAGGCUUAGGAUUCACUGUCUCUGAGGAAUACUUAAUCUAAACUUUAUUUAAAAAAAAAAAGAAUGUACUGGAAAUCAAAGUGAAAACAAACAAACAAGAAAAUAUCUUCCAAGAUAAGACUUGGUUGAAUUUCUUGCUGUAAUCAAAUAGAGGAACAGAUAAAUUAGCACCCCAAGCUUUUCUCUUGCAAGGAAUCAAGGCUUGCAUGUAUGUGUAAUGAACUUCCACUCAUGGAAUGAUUCUUGGCACGCAAAUGCAUUUCAGUAUAACACAAAAGCACACAAAGGAUACAAAUCAAAUUUGCACUAGUAGUUCAGCAGCCUAGGUACAGAACUGGAAAGAACUUCUUGCUUCUAACAUUUUGUCAUGUCUUAGAGACAGCGAAACUAUGUAUAAAAGAUCUCUCUGCCCAGAAGCCUGAGUAGAGCUUUGAAAGGUUGUUUUCAUUGAUUGACUCUAUGUCUUGCACAGAAUUACACUUCACUUUCAUCCCACACAUUUCUUUAAUACAGGCAAAUAAUAACAGAUACAGACAUGAACACAGACUUUUUCAAAGUUAGCUUUACAUAGAAAGAUGCAUAUUAAAAUGCAGGGAAGAAGAGCAAGGUCUGAGGGAGUAACCAACUGCCAAGAGCUUUUCAUUGCAUUAUUCUUAAAAACCAAACAAAUCCUUUUGAAAUCAACACCAGUACUACUGAUUGUCUGAUGGCUGUUUGCUCUUAGCCCAGGUCUAACUCCAUGAUUGCUUUGCAUGUUACUUGUCGUGAACCUCCUGAGAAAACUCAAGGCAGAAGCACUGAUACAAGUCUGCCGUGUAAGCCUCUUCCCUAAUAGCUGUGAAAGAUAGCGGCAAUAAAGAAUCAGAUUACUUUGUUCACCAUCUGGUGAUUAAACGAUAAAAUAAAAAAGAAUCCUUGAGAGUCCAUCCUGAUGACCUAGUUACUCAGCACGUCUAUCAGGGAGAAAGAAGGAGGCAUUAAAAACUGAGUGGCCUCAUUUCUGUCUGAAGCAAAGGUAAGUGUUGGGACAAAGAAGCAGAGAAGACAUUUUUACUUGUUUCUCUAUUUAAGAUUCUCCAAUUACAAACUCUGUCACAUUGGAUGCUUUGUCACAAGACUGUCCUGGGUCUAGAAUCCUGGCUCCAAGGAUUGGAAGCUGCCAGCUUUAUGCAGACACCACCUGACCACAAGCUGUCCAUUACCAGCUCUGGAAUAGCAUCUUCCAAUAUGCAUCUUGCUCUGAAUCUUCACGCAACUCACUAAACAGAAAAAAAGUUUUUUUUGGUAAGCGUGGUGAGGCACUGGAACAGGUUGCCCAGGUGGUGGGUCCCUGUCCCAGGAGACAUCCAAGGUCAGGCUGGAGGGGCUCUGAGCACCCUGAUCUAACUGUAGGUGUCCUGGUUCAUUGCAGAGGAGUUGGACUAGAUGUCCUUUAGGGAGCCCUUCCAACUCAAACGACUCUGUGAUUCAAUGGGCAGAAGAAUAAGCCUUGCUUCCAGUUUCAAAGGGAACAGCAAAGUACUGUUUAGCACAGGGAGUUCAAGAACUGAAGAAAGCCAAGCAACUGCAAGUGCAAUGUAUUUCAUCGGCAUACAUGAAGAAGUCUGUAUUGCUGCUGCCUGGAUGUUGAGGUUAAAAGAACACAUACCUCAGUUCCUUUUUGUCAGAAUUAGGACUCACUUCCAGAACUACAACCCAUAGUUACAAAAGUCAGAUGCUGUGACCAUCUUUGCCUUGCACAGUGCAUGAUCAUAGAAUCAUUAAGGUUGGAAAGACCACUAAGAUCAUCUACUGUAACCAUCAACCCACGUCUGUGACUGCUCUAGGCCACGUCACUCAGUGUGACAGCUUCUCUCUUCUGGUACACCUCCAGGGACGGUGACUGCACCACCUCCCUGGGCAGCCUAUGCCAGUGCAGCUCCACUCUCUGAGAAGAAAUCGUUCCCAAUACGCAACCUGAUGUGUGGACACUUUUAUGUAAAGGGGCCUCUUUACCUAAAAGGUUACCAACCCCCAUCCCUGUAAUCCAUCACUGACUAAGGGAGUACACUGAAAGGUCUAUGCCCAUAGCAUCCUUACAUUUUUCAGUGAGCUGGCAGAGCAGUUAGGUGCCUAUCAGACAACAACAGUCCCUAUGCUAACUGGUGCCACCAGUCUAAAGAAGUUAAAAAGAGGUACAAUGCUAAUGAACUCAAGGCGUGUUUUUGACACACCUAACUA